AAGAAGACCUACAUUGGAACUGCUAACUCCGACCCCUGGAAGUAACACACCCAGACUUCUU
rnacentral:tRNA from 1 species